rnacentral:rRNA from 1 species
CCAAAAUCCGCCGAUUCGUCUGCCAGGAAAAGCCUCUAAGGAGAGUUAGGUAACCGUACCACAAACCGACACAGGUGGACGAGAUGAAUAUUCUAAGGCGCUCGGGUGAUGGUAUGUUCAGGAACUAGGCACAUUAGCUCCGUAACUUCGGGAGAAGGGGUGCCCACGCAAGUGGGUCGCAGUGAAGAGUCUCAGGCGACUGUUUAACAAAAACACAGGUCUCUGCUAAGUCGAAAACGACGUAUAGGGGCUGACGCCUGCCCGGUGCCGGAAGGUUAAAGGGAGAGGUUAGCGCAAGCGAAGCUUUGAACUGAAGCCCCGGUGAACGGCGGCCGUAACAAUAACGGUCCUAAGGUAGCAAAAUUCCUUGUCGGGUAAGUUCCGACCUGCACGAAUGGCGUAACGAUCUGAGAACUGUCUUAACAUGCCGCCCGGCGAACUUGUGGUCCCGGUGAAGACGCCGGGUGCCCGCCACUAGACGAAAAGACCCCGUGCACCUUUACUAUACUUUUUCAUUGAUUUAUGGGGCCAUCUGCGCAGCAUAGGUGGGAGGCUUUGAUUCCAGGUUCUCGGACUUGGAGGAGCCAACGGUGAGAUACCACCCUGAUGGUUCUGUGAAUCUAACCUGUUCCCGUGAUCCGGGAAAGGGACAAUGGAAGACGGGUAGUUUGACUGGGGCGGUCGCCUCCUAAAUUGUAACGGAGGCGCGCGAAGCUAGGUUCAGGCUGUUUGGAAAUCAGCCGACGAGUGCAAAAGCAUAAACCUGGUUAACUGUAAGACCAACAAGUCGAGCAGAUACGAAAGUAGGCUUUAGUGAUCCGGUGAUUCUGUAUGGAAGGGUCAUCGCUCAACGGAUAAAAGGUACGCCGGGGAUAACAGGCUGAUCGGAGUCAAGAGUUCACAUCGACGCUCCGGUUUGGCACCUCGAUGUCGGCUCAUCGCAUCCUGGGGGUGUAGAAGCUCCCAAGGGUUAGGCUGUUCGCCUAUUAAAGCGGUACGUGAGCUGGGUUCAGAACGUCGCGAGACAGUUCGGUCUCUAUCUGUGGUGGGCGGAGGAAAUUUGAAGGGGCCUGCCCUUAGUACGAGAGGACCGGGGUGGACGAAUCUCUUGUGUUCCAGUUGUCUCACCAGAGGCAUAGCUGGGUAGCGAAAUUCGGUCAGGAUAAGCGCUGAAUGCAUAUAAGCGCGAAACCUUCCCUAAGAUGAGAUUUCCCAACGAAAGUAAGAAGAGCACUGGAAGACUACCAGUUUGAUAGGGCAGAUGUGUAAGCGUAGCAAUACGUUGAGCUUACUGCUACUAAUCGCUCGUUCGGCUUGACCAU